GAUCAUGGCUCAGGAUGAACGCUGGCGGCGUGCCUAAUACAUGCAAGUCGAGCGAACAGACAAGGAGCUUGCUCCUUUGACGUUAGCGGCGGACGGGUGAGUAACACGUGGGUAACCUACCUAUAAGACUGGGAUAACUUCGGGAAACCGGAGCUAAUACCGGAUAAUAUUUCGAACCGCAUGGUUCGAUAGUGAAAGAUGGUUUUGCUAUCACUUAUAGAUGGACCCGCGCCGUAUUAGCUAGUUGGUAAGGUAACGGCUUACCAAGGCGACGAUACGUAGCCGACCUGAGAGGGUGAUCGGCCACACUGGAACUGAGACACGGUCCAGACUCCUACGGGAGGCAGCAGUAGGGAAUCUUCCGCAAUGGGCGAAAGCCUGACGGAGCAACGCCGCGUGAGUGAUGAAGGUCUUCGGAUCGUAAAACUCUGUUAUUAGGGAAGAACAUACGUGUAAGUAACUAUGCACGUCUUGACGGUACCUAAUCAGAAAGCCACGGCUAACUACGUGCCAGCAGCCGCGGUAAUACGUAGGUGGCAAGCGUUAUCCGGAAUUAUUGGGCGUAAAGCGCGCGUAGGCGGUUUUUUAAGUCUGAUGUGAAAGCCCACGGCUCAACCGUGGAGGGUCAUUGGAAACUGGAAAACUUGAGUGCAGAAGAGGAAAGUGGAAUUCCAUGUGUAGCGGUGAAAUGCGCAGAGAUAUGGAGGAACACCAGUGGCGAAGGCGACUUUCUGGUCUGUAACUGACGCUGAUGUGCGAAAGCGUGGGGAUCAAACAGGAUUAGAUACCCUGGUAGUCCACGCCGUAAACGAUGAGUGCUAAGUGUUAGGGGGUUUCCGCCCCUUAGUGCUGCAGCUAACGCAUUAAGCACUCCGCCUGGGGAGUACGACCGCAAGGUUGAAACUCAAAGGAAUUGACGGGGACCCGCACAAGCGGUGGAGCAUGUGGUUUAAUUCGAAGCAACGCGAAGAACCUUACCAAAUCUUGACAUCCUUUGACAACUCUAGAGAUAGAGCCUUCCCCUUCGGGGGACAAAGUGACAGGUGGUGCAUGGUUGUCGUCAGCUCGUGUCGUGAGAUGUUGGGUUAAGUCCCGCAACGAGCGCAACCCUUAAGCUUAGUUGCCAUCAUUAAGUUGGGCACUCUAAGUUGACUGCCGGUGACAAACCGGAGGAAGGUGGGGAUGACGUCAAAUCAUCAUGCCCCUUAUGAUUUGGGCUACACACGUGCUACAAUGGACAAUACAAAGGGCAGCGAAACCGCGAGGUCAAGCAAAUCCCAUAAAGUUGUUCUCAGUUCGGAUUGUAGUCUGCAACUCGACUACAUGAAGCUGGAAUCGCUAGUAAUCGUAGAUCAGCAUGCUACGGUGAAUACGUUCCCGGGUCUUGUACACACCGCCCGUCACACCACGAGAGUUUGUAACACCCGAAGCCGGUGGAGUAACCAUUUGGAGCUAGCCGUCGAAGGUGGGACAAAUGAUUGGGGUGAAGUCGUAACA
rnacentral:rRNA from 1 species